rnacentral:ncRNA from 1 species
GCGGUCGCCUCCCAAAGAGUAACGGAGGCGUUCGAAGGUGCCCUCGGCACGGUAGGAAACCGUGCCAUCGAGUGCAAACGCAUAAGGGCGCCUGACUGCAAGGCCGGCAGGCCGAGCAGACGCGAAAGCGGGAGUUAGUGACCCGGCGGUUCCAGCGUGGAAUGGCCGUCGCUUAACGGACAAAAGCUACCUUGGGGAUAACAGGCUGAUCCGGUCCAAGAGUUCACUUCGACGACCGGGUUUGGCACCUCGAUGUCGGCUCAUCGCAUCCUGGAGGGGCAACACCUUCCAAGGGUUUGGCUGUUCGCCAAUCAAAGCGGUACGCGAGCUGGGUUCAAAACGUCGUGAGACAGUUUGGUCCCUAUCUGUCGUGGGCGUGGGAGGACCUAGGGGAUCCCCCCCCAGUACGCAAGGACCGGGGGGGACGAGGCUACGGUGCACCGGUUGGGACGCCAGUCCCACGGCCGGGCAGCCGCCCUCGGGACGGAUAAGCGCUGAGAGCAUCUAAGUGCGAAGCCGGCCCCGGGGUCAGUCCUCCGUUGGACAUGUUCCAUGAAGGGCCCGGGAAAGUACACCCGGUAGAUGGACGCCAGGCGCAGGCACCGCGAGGUGCACAGCCGUGGCGCUCCAAUGGCCCGAGACGCUUGUCGUG